GACCUUGUAGCUCAGUUGGAAGAGCUUUGGACUUGCAAACCAAAGGUCGCAGGUUCGAUUCCCACCAUGGUCA
rnacentral:tRNA from 1 species